rnacentral:tRNA from 1 species
UCCCUAGUGGUCCAGUGGCUAGGACUCUACACUUCCAAUGCAGGGGGCCUGAGUUCGAUACCUGGUCAGAGAA